AAUAGAAAACAAUUGUGCUGAAGAAUCUUCAUUCUUUGUAUCACGUACUGGCUGUGUGACUCGUCUCUCUCGACAAGCUGAUCAUGUUGGACAUCUUCUGUCAUGCAGGUAUCCCAAAGACUGCACAGAGCUGGCACAUGAUGCAAGUGGAAGACUGGCAUAACACAAUGUCAAACAGCAACAUAUCCAUCCCCUUUACUGAUCACUGCUGACAUCCAUGUCGAACUGCCUAGUAAUUUCCGUGCUAAAGUAAGGUCCUUCACCACAGCAUCAAUUCUUCCUUUAACAAUCUCAGAACAGGAAAUUGCUGCUGACAAGGAUUAAUUCAUCCAUUUGUGCAUGGUUUAGUUAGUCAGACCAAGAUGUUUCUAGCUAAUGAAACACCAAGCAGGCACAACGUAGGAAGGGGAAACCCAAGAGGAAACUGGUCAAAAGACAUAGCCUGCUU